GCCCUGGUGGUGGAAUUGGUAGACACAAGGGAUUUAAAAUCCCUCGACGUUCGCGUUGUGCCGGUUCAAGUCCGGUACUCGGGGCACCA
rnacentral:tRNA from 1 species